UGUGGGAGCGAGCCUGCUCGCGAUAGCGGUGUGUCAGUCAAAAUCAGUGCUGGCUGACACACUGCUAUCGCGAGCAGGCUCGCUCCCACA
rnacentral:misc_RNA from 1 species